rnacentral:rRNA from 2 species
CUGCGGAAGGAUCAUUGUCGUGACCCUGACCAAAACAGACCGCGCACGCGUCAUCCAACCCGUCGGUGACGGCACUGUCCGUCGCUCGGCCAAUGCCUCGACCACCUCCCCUCCUCGGAGCGGGUGGGGGCUCGGGGUAAAAGAACCCACGGCGCCGAAGGCGUCAAGGAACACUGUGCCUAACCCGGGGGCAUGGCUAGCUUGCUAGCCGUCCCUUGUGUUGCAAAGCUAUUUAAUCCACACGACUCUCGGCAACGGAUAUCUCGGCUCUCGCAUCGAUGAAGAACGUAGCGAAAUGCGAUACCUGGUGUGAAUUGCAGAAUCCCGCGAACCAUCGAGUCUUUGAACGCAAGUUGCGCCCGAGGCCACUCGGCCGAGGGCACGCCUGCCUGGGCGUCACGCCAAAACACGCUCCCAACCACCCUCAUCGGGAAUCGGGACGCGGCAUCUGGUCCCUCGUCUCGCAAGGGGCGGUGGACCGAAGAUCGGGCUGCCGGUGUACCGCGCCGGACACAGCGCAUGGUGGGCGUCCUCGCUUUAUCAACGCAGUGCAUCCGACGCGCAGCCGACAUUAUGGCCUCAGAACGACCCAGCAAACGAAGCGCACGUUGCUUCGACCGCGACCCCAGGUCAGGCGGGACUACCCGCUGAGUUUAAGCA